CGUGCCGUGCGUGUGGGCGAAUGUGAUGAGAAAGUGAAGAGAGUAUUUUCAUUUUUAUUUUUUUUCGUAUAUUUCAGGUGAGCAACGGCGGGAAAUCGAUUUCCAUCCGCCAUUGAAAAACCCUAAAUAAAAAAUUUAUUCCCAAUUGUAGAGAGAGAGAGAGGGAGGGUGGAGUGAGAAGUGCAAUUCUUCUCCUUUUUUCUCUUUCGCUCCCAAAUCGUCCGCCAUGGAUGCAUUCCCCGCCACCGGCGAUUUGCCCAUCUCAUCGGAAGAAACCAAGGUUGCGCGGCUCAACCCCGCACUAGAGGAGCGGGACGACGACGAGUUCCGGAGGGAGAGCCCUCGGCUCAAGUACAUCCCGCUCUGCGACGUCUACUCCGCCACAUCUCCUUGCGUCACCGCCACCGGAUCGAAGAAGGUCAAGGCUGCUGCGCGGAGGCUCCCAAGGGCCAGCGGCAAUGAUCAAUUGAAGCACCACUUGAUCGGAGUGAAGUCUGAGAUAACUCACGUCUACUCCAGGCGCCGCAAGCGGAGAGAGGAGAAACCCUCUUCGCUUCUCGAGUCGUUGCUUUCUCAAGGAAUAGAUGUGAAGUCAGAGAAAGUGGAGAUUGAUGAUGGAGGAACGGAGACCGGAAUUAAACGAAGGAGAAUGGGCACUGGCGCGAGGGUGAUGAAAGCCAUCGCUGAUUGUAAGGCAUCCUGUGAAUUGAAUGAUCGGCCUGAAUUGAAUGAUUGUGUGAAAAAGAUUGAUACCGAUGAUGUAAACAAGACUCCGAAGUUCGAUGGUAUAGUUAAGGGUUGUGAGAGCAGGACGCGGAAGAAGGAUUGUUUAGCAAAUAGUUCUAAAACAUCGGGAGCUGCAAAGCCAAAGAAAUGGGUCUGGCUGAGUAUCAAAGGUACUGACCCAAAUAAAUUCACUGGACUACAAUGCAAGGUUUACUGGCCGCUUGAUGCAAGUUGGUAUUCUGGUCAUAUAGUAGCUUACAAUUCUGAGACCAAUCGGCACCAUGUGAAGUAUGAAGACGGUGAAGAGGAAAACCUGAUUAUAUCAAACGAACGAGUCAAGUUUCAUGUGUCUUCUGAGGAAAUACAAAAUUUGAAACUCAAGGUCAGUGAGAAGAGCUCAGAAGCUGAAGGGAUUGAUGUGAGUGAGUUGAUGGUUUUGGCUGCUAGUUUGGAUGAUUGCCAGGAGAUUGAGCCUGGAGAUGUUAUUUGGGCAAAGCUUACUGGACAUUCUAUAUGGCCUGCAAUUGUUUUGGAUGAAUCACAUGUAAGUCAACGGAAAGGUCUCAACAUUUCUGGAGGAAAAUCAAUCCUAGUACAAUUCUUUGGUACCCAUGAUUUUGCUAGGGUAAGAAGGAAUCAGGUUAGCCCUUUCCUUAAGGGCCUUCUUUCAUCCUGUCAUUCAAAGUGCAAUAAACCAACCUUUGUUACUGGAUUGGAGGAAGCAAAAAUGUAUCUUAGUGAACAUACUCUCCCAAAAGUAAUGCUGCAGCAGCGUGAUGAUGCUGAUGCUGAUGCUGAUGCUGAUAUUAAUAAUUGUGGAAGUGGUAGUGGAGGACACGAAGAUGGUAUUGAUUCUGGUGACGAAGAAUGCACAAGCCAUGAUGAUAUACAAAAGAAAAUUGAAGAUCUCAAAAACUCCCCAUUAGAAUCUGGAGAGUUGCAAAUAGUAAACCUUGGAAAGAUAGUCAAAGGCUCCUUAAAGUUUCAAAAUGAGAGGUUUAUUUGGCCCAAGGGUUAUACUGCUAGGAGGAUGUUUCUUUCCAUAACAGAUCCAAAUGUACAGACCUUAUAUAAGAUGGAAGUACUGUAUCUGGACUCAAGGAUCAGGCCUCUAUUCAGAGUAACAGCAGACACUGGAGAAGAGUUUAAUGGGCCAACUCCAUCUGCUUGCUGGAAUAAAAUAUAUAAAAGGGUUAGGAUGGUACAAAUGAAAAAUCAGAAUUCUAAAGGGGAUCAGAGUUUUGCUUCUGGUUCUUACAUGUUUGGUUUUGCCCACCCGAAAGUUUCCAAACUCUUAAAGGAAAUGUCUAGUUCUCAAAAGUCUUUGAGAUCCUCCCAUCUAGCAUCUAGGAAAAUCAAAGGCCUUCCUGUUGGAUACAGGCCUGUCACUGUUGAAUGGAGGGACCUUGAUAAGUGCAAUGUUUGCCAUAUGGAUGAGGAAUACGAGAACAAUUUAUUUCUUCAGUGCGACAAAUGCAGGAUGAUGGUGCAUGCUAGAUGCUAUGGAGAACUAGAGCCUACUGGUGGUGUUCUUUGGCUUUGUAACUUGUGUCGUCCAGGAGCUCCAGAAUCUCCAAGAUGCUGCCUGUGUCCUGUGCAAGGAGGUGCUAUGAAGCCUACUACAGAUGGGCGGUGGGCUCAUCUGGCUUGUGCCAUAUGGAUACCAGAAACCUGCUUAUCUGAUAUAAAAAAAAUGGAACCCAUUGAUGGGCUAAGUAGAAUCAAUAAGGAUCGGUGGAAGCUCUUAUGCAGCAUCUGUGGUGUUUCUCAUGGAGCAUGUAUCCAGUGCUCAAACCAUAACUGUCGUGUGGCAUAUCAUCCUCUCUGUGCACGAGCUGCUGGAUUUUGUCUUGAGCCUGAUGACAUGGAGAGACAACAUUUGGUUCCUCUUGAUGAGGACGAGGAGGAUCAGUGCAUCCAACUACUAUCAUUCUGCAGGAGACAUAGGCCUUCAUCUAAUCAGCGGUUGAAUUUUGAUGAAAGAAUAGAGCAGAAAAGCUGUUAUAAUGGAGAUUAUGUCCCACCUACAAAUCCUUCUGGUUGUGCUCGGACUGAGCCUUACAAUUUUCUAACGAGGCGUGGGAGAAAUGAACCUGAAGUCCCUGCUGCUUCAUCAAAGCGAUUGUAUGUGGAUAACCAGCCAUAUUUGCUGGGUGGGUGCAGUCGUCAUAUGCCCUUGUGGAACAAGAUAUCUUCCCAUGAACUCACUGGUUCUAAAUAUUUUGUUGAACUUCAAAAGCUGCAAAUCGCACAACUUAAUCCAUCUGACCAGAUUCUUUCGGUGGCUGAUAAGUAUAAUUAUAUGAGGGAUACCUUCAGAAAAAGACUAGCAUUUGGGAAGUCUGGUAUACAUGGUUUUGGUGUCUUCACUAAACUUCCACAUAGAGCUGGAGACAUGGUCAUUGAAUAUACUGGUGAACUCAUUCGACCGCCAGUUGCUGACAGAAGGGAACAUUUGAUAUACAAUUCGUUAGUGGGUGCUGGAACUUAUAUGUUUCGAAUUGAUGAUGAACGUGUUAUCGAUGCCACCAGAGCCGGAAGCAUUGCUCAUUUGAUUAAUCACUCAUGUGAACCAAAUUGCUAUUCAAGGGUGAUCAGUGUCAAUGGCGAUGAGCACAUCAUCAUCUUUGCUAAACGAGAUAUUAAACAGUGGGAAGAACUGACAUAUGAUUACAGGUUCUUUUCAAAGGAUGAACAGCUUCUCUGUUAUUGUGGAUCUUCUAGAUGUCGAGGUGUGGUGAAUGAUAUUGAAACUGAAGAACGGGUAGCAAAGCUAUUUGUACCCCGCAGCGAAUUGAAAGACUGGCAGGGGGAAUAAAGGAGGUUUCUACCCAUUUUGAGGCCCUCCCUCAAUUGUUGAGCUGUGUACUGUGUGCCACUAAUCUGUAUCACAUUUGUUUGCCCAAGCUGAGUACCUGUGCAUGUAACCUGUGACAAAGUACUUCAUCCACUGCUAUCCCUCCUAUGCUAUGUGCUGCCUUUCUAAAAGCUUCGUUUCCGAGUGGCACAGCAUCAUGGACUUUAAAGAUUUCAUUUUUUUAAGGAAAGACACAUAUUUGUUCGAUAGGUGAGCAGCAGAUACAGAUAAUUUCUAUAACAUUCUCUGCUAUGCUUCCUUCCAUCAUUUGUCCAUUACUUCCUGAUUGAUAGCAUCAAUAAGGAUUCUCAUAUUAUUUAUUAACCAACCUAUAUUGGAAAUAUAUAGAUAUAUAUAAUUUGUUUUUCACAAUAGACCUUCAUAUAAUAGGCAGGAUUCUGUCUAAGGAUGAUGCCAAUGUUAAUGGAUAAUUUCUUUACCCCUUCUAUUACAUUAUGUGUAGAAAUGUGUAUAUACUCUCCCAUUGCUUCACUUCUAUUUGACUUGCCAUUGG